UGCCCACAUCAUAUUGAAACACCAGUUCCUGUACAAUCACUGAAGUUAAGCAAUGAUGAACUUGGUUAGUACCUAGAUAGGUGACCACUUGGGAAUACCAAGUGCUGAA